UGAGGAAUAUUGGUCAAUGGGCGAGAGCCUGAACCAGCCAUCCCGCGUGCAGGAUGACGGCCCUAUGGGUUGUAAACUGCUUUUCCGCGCCAAGAAACCCCCCGACGUGUCGGGGGCUGACGGUAGCGCGGGAAUAAGCACCGGCUAACUCCGUGCCAGCAGCCGCGGUAAUACGGAGGGUGCAAGCGUUAUCCGGAUUCAUUGGGUUUAAAGGGUGCGCAGGCGGGGAAAUAAGUCAGUGGUGAAAUACUGCCGCUCAACGGUAGGGCUGCCAUUGAUACUGUUUUUCUUGAGUAUGGUUGAGGCAGGUGGAAUGUGUUGUGUAGCGGUGAAAUGCAUAGAUAUGACACAGAACGCCGAUUGCGAAGGCAACUUGCUAAGCCAUCACUGACGCUGAGGCACGAAAGCGUGGGUAGCGAACAGGAUUAGAUACCCUAGUAG
rnacentral:rRNA from 1 species